AGUGAACGCUGGCGGUAGGCCUAACACAUGCAAGUCGAACGGCAGCACAGUAAGAGCUUGCUCUUACGGGUGGCGAGUGGCGGACGGGUGAGGAAUACAUCGGAAUCUACUUUUUCGUGGGGGAUAACGUAGGGAAACUUACGCUAAUACCGCAUACGACAUACGGGUGAAAGCAGGGGAUCUUCGGACCUUGCGCGAUUGAAUGAGCCGAUGUCGGAUUAGCUAGUUGGCGGGGUAAAGGCCCACCAAGGCGACGAUCCGUAGCUGGUCUGAGAGGAUGAUCAGCCGCACUGGAACUGAGACACGGUCCAGACUCCUACGGGAGGCAGCAGUGGGGAAUAUUGGACAAUGGGCGCAAGCCUGAUCCAGCCAUACCGAGUGGGUGAAGAAGGCCUUCGGGUUGUAAAGCCCUUUUGUUGGGAAAGAAAAGCAGCAGGUUAAUACCCCGCUGUUCUGACGGUACCCAAAGAAUAAGCACCGGCUAACUUCGUG
rnacentral:rRNA from 1 species